rnacentral:rRNA from 1 species
ACGCACGCUGGCGGCGUGCUUAACACAUGCAAGUCGAACGGAAAGGCCCUGCUUGCCGGGUGCUCGAGUGGCGAACGGGUGAGUAACACGUGGGUGAUCUGCCCCUUACUUUGGGAUAAGCCUGGGAAACUGGGUCUAAUACUGGAUAGGACCAUGCUGUAGGUGGUGUGGUGGAAAGAUUAGUUUCGGUAAGGGAUGAGCUCGCGGCCUAUCAGCUUGUUGGUGGGGUAAUGGCCUACCAAGGCGUCGACGGGUAGCCGGCCUGAGAGGGUGGACGGCCACAUUGGGACUGAGAUACGGCCCAGACUCCUACGGGAGGCAGCAGUGGGGAAUAUUGCACAAUGGGCGCAAGCCUGAUGCAGCGACGCCGCGUGGGGGAUGACGGCCUUCGGGUUGUAAACUCCUUUCAGCCAUGACGAAGCCCUUGUGGUGACGGUAGUGGUAGAAGAAGCACCGGCUAACUACGUG